rnacentral:tRNA from 1 species
GCCUUCGUGGUGUAACGGUUAGCACACUCGGCGCAUAUUCAAGAGUUCCAGGUUCGAAUCCCGGCGAGGACA